rnacentral:rRNA from 1 species
UACGGAGGGUGCAAGCGUUAUCCGGAUUCACUGGGCUUAAAGGGCGCGUAGGCGGGCGCUUAAGUCUGUGGUGAAAUCCUCCGGCUCAACCGGAGAACUGCCAUGGAUACUGGGUGUCUCGAGGGUGGUAGGGGUAUGCGGAACUAUUGGUGGAGCGGUGAAAUGCGUUGAUAUCAAUAGGAACUCCGGUGGCGAAGGCGGCAUACUGGACCGCUUCUGACGCUGAGGCGCGAAAGCCAGGGGAGCAAACGGG